rnacentral:rRNA from 1 species
CCCUAUGGCCAUGCCACUCUGAACAAGCCCGAUCCCACCUGAUCUCGGAAGCUAAGCAGGGUCAGGCCUGGUUAGUACUUGGAUGGGAGACCACCUAGGAAGACCAGGUGCUGUAGGCA